CAGCCGUAAACUAUGCGCGUUAGGUGUAUCGGUGACCACGAGUCACCGAGGUGCCGAAGGGAAACCGUGAAACGUGCCGCCUGGGAAGUACGGUCGCAAGGCUGAAACUUAAAGGAAUUGGCGGGGGAGGCACCACAACGGGUGGAGCCUGCGGUUUAAUUUGGACUCAACGCCGGGAAGCUCACCGGAUAAGACAGCGGAAUGAUUGCCGGGCUGAAGACUCUGCAUGACUAGCUGAGAGGAGGUGCAUGGCGUAGACGUCU
rnacentral:rRNA from 1 species